UUUCUCUCAUCUCUCUGUUUCUUUCUCCACCUCCACCUAGUGAGCAACACCACCACCAUUAGCCGCCAUCUCUCUCUCUCUUCCUUAAACUCUCUCUCUCUCUCUCUCUCUCUCUAAAUCGUUAUAACAAGAUCUGUAACAUUCCAACCGUCGAAACAGUUAAUAUUGAGGAUUAGGGAUUUAAAACACUAAGAUGGAUUUUGGUAGCAAGAGAUGCUGGUAGCGAGAGAGAUCUGGGCUUGUUUCCUGAUUGGCACAAAAGACUUUAACGGCCACUGAUUUGCAGGUUGGGGUUUGGUUAGGGUUUGAAGUGGUGGUUCUGGGGUUGUUGGAUUGUGUAAAACCGAUUUGUUUAAAACUGUUUCAACUCUUGUUUUUUUUUUUUUUGUUUUCGGAGUUUCUCUUUUGGUUUAAGCUAAAGUUUGUGUUUGAAAAUUGAAAAUAGGUACUAGUGGAUGCAGAGUGCACCCAUGAUGGUUCAAUUAAACAUAUCCUGAAGUUUGAAAACUGGGGAUGGACAACUUUAGAGCGUCGGGUUUUUGAUGCAAAGAGAACCAGUGAUUUGACUGUUCUUCAGGUAGGACUAGGACUGGUUGUUUUUUUUUUUUGGUUGGGUAUGUAGAGUUAUUGGACAUAGAUGGUUCAGAAUGUUGGCCCUGCAAGAGUGGACGGAUACCGAAAACUUUGCGGUUUGAUCCAUUGACUUCUAGAACAAGUGGCCUUUUUGUUGCCAAGCUCACAAAACAUCCAGAAAGACAACCAAGUUUUCAGAGCCUGAAUGGUGCUAGAAGUGAGGCUCCUAACGGCAGAGUUUGUGCAGUUAAUUAUUGUACCAUGAACCCAAUUUAUUAGCAACUAUCCCUCCCUGUAAGAAAUGGUUAUCUGACAUGGAGCAAAACAAGGGAAUGGUUAUCUGGAGAGAGGAAGAAGAGAGAGAAAGGGGAUGUACGUUGAGGGUGUGUGUGAGAGAGAGAUAA
rnacentral:lncRNA from 1 species